rnacentral:rRNA from 1 species
UACGGAGGGGGCGAGCGUUGUCCGAAGUUACUGGGCGUAAAGCGCGCGUAUGCGGGUUGGUAAGUCCGCUGUGAAAGCCCGGAGCUCAACUCCGGAGGGUCGGUGGAUACUGCCAGUCUUGAAGGUGCUAGGGGGAGAUGGAAUUACCGGUGUAGCGGUGAAAUGCGUAGAUAUCGGUAGGAACACCAGUGGCGAAGGCGGUCUCCUGGGGCAUUCUUGACGCUGAGGCGCGAAAGCUGGGGGAGCGAACGGG